UCACUAACUGCUACUAAAAGUGUAAAAAAUCAGAGCACAACUCUAUCGUAGCAUUAAAAUCAUGCUACAAAAGAUUUUCAUUAAGCUAAACCCCAAAAAUCACGGCGAAAACACUUGGCAAAUUUUCAUUUUGGCACCAAAAUAUUUCAUUUUGAUAAAAAUAAUUUUUUUUUUGCCUAAGUAGUAGUAUUCUUUCAAAAAAGAAAAAAAAUAAUUAAUUAAUUUUCUUUGUCUUCUUCUUCGUUGUUUACUUCAAUCUCUCUGUUCAUCCUCCAUCUUCUACUUCAGUUUGGUUUUUUUUUUUUCAUCUUAUUCAUCCCAAUCGAAGAAACCACAUAAGGAUGGGAUCUCGUCGUUCCCAAACUCCUCCAUUUUGCACUCUGUAUAUCAAUCAUCAUCGUCUCCACCAAACCCUAAACCACGAUCUCUCCUUGAACGACGAUUACGUCUCAUAAUCAUCUCCGCAAGACCUCGCAAACCCCUCAAUUUCACUCCUUCGUGCGUCUCCUCAGAUCCCAACGCCUCUGAUUCGAUAAAGAGAGACGAAUGCACCAGUAGCCAUGGCUGAACAGGCUGAGACAGCUUUUCUUAAGCAACCCAAGGUCGUCUUAAGCUAGAAGAAAUCUGGGAAAGGAAAGAAACAUGUUAAAGGUGGAAACCAUUUAUGGAAGAACAUUGGUUUGGGUUUCCAGACUCCCCGUGACGCCAUUGAAGGUUUGAUGUAGAUUUACCUCUGUUCGUUUCUCUCCGCUCUUCUAUAUUUCAUUCAUGUGCAUGCACAAUUGUGUUUGUGUGACUAGGUCGUCAAUUAGGUAUUUCAGAUUAGGCGUAAAAUUCUCUACUUUCAGUUUUGAUGAGUAAGUCUGAGACUCUUGUGAUUGCAUGAACUGAUGUUCAAAGAAGAGGUCACAGUUAAGCUUGUGAGUGAUUCAAUAGAUAAAGACUCCAACUUUUCUUUUUUUUCAACUGCAUUGCUUCCUGCAACUUUUGCGUCCAGUACAGAUGAGCUUAAAGCAGUUGGAGUUGAUGAAGUGGUUCUGGCCAUCAAUUACCAACCAGAAGUGAUGCUUAACUUUUUGAAAGACUUUGAAGCAAAGCUGGAAAUCAAAAUCACUUUCUCACAAGAGACUGAGCGUAUGGGUACGAUUGAGUCCAGCUUGGGAAAUAUUAAGGAAGUUAUUAGUCUUAUAUAUGUUGGUAUAUUUGUUAACUUAUGAAUUAUUUUGGCCUUACGUAUAUUUUGGAUGGUAGUUAGUGAAUGUAGUGGUUGCCUUGGAGAUGCAGAGGAAGUCCGAUUGCCAUUGAUAUUAUUAUGGCAUUUGUAGCUUUUAUAUGUUGGAUCACUUCUGGUUUCUAAUGAGUAAUGAGCAAGAUUAUGUCUAAAAUGGUCAAUGAAAAUUUAUUUUAGUUAUUUACUUACUGAUAAUAAUUAACCAUAAAAUCCAAGAUAACACAAAAGUAAUAUCAUAAAAAAGAAAAUCCAACACUAAUAAUAAAUCUAACAAAAAUAAUAAUUUUUUUACUUCAUGUUCUAAACCCUAAACAUUCCCUAAACCCUGAAUUUAUCUUUUAACUCCAAACUCUAUUUUUAAACAUUAAAAUCAUUGUUUACAUAAAAUAUAUUAUUUUAAAAUGUAUAGUCUAUGAAAAUAAUUAAGUUUUAAGAGCUGUGAUUAAAGUUUUAGGUUUCAACCCUAGCCCCUACACUAAACCUUAAAACUUCAAUAUUUUGAUAGUAUAACUUAAAUCUUAAAUUUAAACUAAAAUUAAAUCUUUUUCAAUGUACAGUCUCAAAUUUAAAUUAAAUCUUAAAUCUACACCUUAAAUCUAAUAACCUAAACCCUAAACCACACACCUCAAAACACUAUAUUCCAAACCAUAAACUCAUUAAUCAUCUUGUUAAUUUUAUAUCAUUAGUUUUAUUUAGCUUAAAUUUGUUUAUUUAAUUUUUAAAUCUAAUCAUUUGUUAAUCUUAUAUCAUUAAAUGAAACCUAAAUUUCAAACACUAAUCUUAAAUCUACAACCUAAAUUUAAUACCCUAAACUCCAAACUUAAACCUUACAUACAAAGUCAUAAAUUUAAAAUUUUCAAAUUUAUAAUGUAAAUUUUAAAAUUAAACUCCAUUAUAUUCUAAAACUCAAACUAUAAAAUUAAUUAUAAAUCUUAACCCUUAACCCUGAACCACUUACCUCAUAUUAACAUAUAUCAUAAAACAUCAAAUUUUAAAUUAUAAAUAGAUUAUAAUUCCUAUAAGAUAAAUAUAUCACUCCAAAUUAUACAUAAUAUUUCAAAUUAUAAAUUUACAAAAUAAAGUCAAAUCACCAAGUAAUAAAUAACAAAAUACAAAAUAAAAGAAAUAUUCUCAUUUAAAUUUUAUUAUUUAAAUAUUUUAAUCAAUCACACAACCAAAAAUUCAAAUACUAAAUUUAUAUUUAUAAUUUUAAAUUAUGAUAUCAAAUUAUUUAAAGUUUAAAUAAGUUUUAUAAUAACUAUAAAUUAAUAGAGAGAUAAUUGGUAUUGUUUUUUAGAGUCAUUGAUUUUUAUUUAGAUCAGAGGCCCAAAAUCAUUUGUCUAUCUAUCCUCACACUUUCUUUCUAUUGGUCAAUUUGCUUAUGGCAUGGACCAUUGACCAUUGACCAUUGACCAUUGUUCACAACUAUUCAUUAACUCUUAUCCAACAGAUAAAUUAAACACAUUUAAUAUUAUUUUUGUUUUUUUCUUCUUCCUCCUUUUCUCGUUUCUGGUUUCUCAGAUCUCUCUCCUCCUCUCUUCUCUCUCACGACAUUGCAUCUCCUCUUUUUUUUUUUCAAUUGCUCGUCGGAAACGAAACACUUGGAUCAGACGCCGAGACCACACCAUGUACGUUUGAAGAAAUCGAAAGCCCUGAUUUCAGAGACUUGAAGGAAGAACGAGAUGAUGAAGAUGAAGAACAGCCGGAGAUAGAGAGAAGAGGCGGAGGCAGAGGAAUAAGCAUCGGAGGAUGUGGUGGAGCCGAGCAAGAAGAAGAAGAAGAAAGGCGGAGAAGGAGAGCAGACAGAGACACAAGGAGGAGGAGGAUGAAGUAGGAAGAUGACGAGCAGAUCGAACGGUGGUGGUCUCGGCGUCAACGAGGAGUGCGGCGGAGAUUGAAGAAGAACGUGGUUUAGUUAGGUUUGGUUAGGGUUAGUUAAUAAACCAUAUUUGUAUGUAAACCGGUUUUUGUAAUAAACCAAUACAUUUGUAAACCAAAAUUUUAAUAAUAAACAAUUUUAUUCACAAACCAA